rnacentral:rRNA from 1 species
GACAGAGGGUGCAAACGUUGCUCGGAAUUACUGGGCGUAAAGCGCGUGUAGGCGGAUCGGAAAGUCGGGCGUGAAAUCCCCAGGCUCAACCUGGGAACUGCACCCGAAACUCCCGGUCUUGAGUGGUGGAGAGGGAAGUGGAAUUCUUGGUGUAGAGGUGAAAUUCGUAGAUAUCAGGAGGAACACCAGUGGCGAAGGCGGCUUCCUGGACACCAACUGACGCUGAGACGCGAAAGCGUGGGGAGCAAACAGG